AUGGUACUUCCUCCGUCCAACAAAUGAUGUCUCAACUUUGAAUAAAUUUGAAUUCAUUUAUACACUAAGUCAUGUUUAGAUACAUUCAAAUUUUGACAAUCUUGAAACAUGUUUUAUUAGACGGAGGGAGUAGUAG
rfam:Brachypodium distachyon strain Bd21 chromosome 2, whole genome shotgun sequence.